UACGGAGGAUGCAAGCGUUAUCCGGAAUGAUUGGGCGUAAAGCGUCCGCAGGUGGCUGUGUAAGUCUGCUGUUAAAGAGUGAGGCUCAACCUCAUAAAAGCAGUGGAAACUACACAGCUAGAGUGCGUUCGGGGCAGAGGGAAUUCCUGGUGUAGCGGUGAAAUGCGUAGAGAUCAGGAAGAACACCGGUGGCGAAGGCGCUCUGCUAGGCCGCAACUGACACUGAGGGACGAAAGCGUGGGGAGCGAACAGG
rnacentral:rRNA from 1 species